rnacentral:tRNA from 1 species
GGCUCCAUAGUGUAGUGGUUAGCACUCCAGACUUUGAAUCUGGCGACCUGGGCGGUGGGACCU